rnacentral:rRNA from 1 species
AGAGUUUGAUCCUGGCUCAGAACGAACGCUGGCGGCGUGCCUAACACAUGCAAGUCGAACGAGAAAUCGGGCACUCAGGCAACUGAGCGCCGGAGAGUACAGUGGCGCACGGGUGAGUAACGCGUGGGUAACCUGCCCCUGAAUUUGGAAUAACCCGCCGAAAGGCGGACUAAUACCGGAUACAGUCCUCAAAACCUCGGCUUUGGGGAUCAAAGGUGACCUCUUCAUGAAAGUUGCCGUUUAGGGAUGGGCCCGCGUACCAUUAGCUUGUUGGUGGGGUAAUGGCCUACCAAGGCGACGAUGGUUAGCUGGUCUGAGAGGAUGAUCAGCCACACUGGAACUGAAACACGGUCCAGACUCCUACGGGAGGCAGCAGUGAGGAAUCUUGCGCAAUGGGGGAAACCCUGACGCAGCAACGCCGCGUGAGCGAAGAAGGCCUUCGGGUCGUAAAGCUCUGUCAAGUGGGAAAAAAAUCUUUUGAUGAAUAGUCAAAAGACUUGAUGGUACCACUGGAGGAAGCACCGGCUAACUCCGUGCCAGCAGCCGCGGUAAUACGGAGGGUGCAAGCGUUGUUCGGAAUUACUGGGCGUAAAGGGCGUGCAGGCGGUUUGGCAAGUCAGAUGUGAAAGCCCUGGGCUCAACCCGGGAAGUGCAUUUGAAACUGUCAUACUUGAGUAUGGGAGAGGAGAGCGGAAUUCCCAGUGUAGAGGUGAAAUUCGUAGAUAUUGGGAGGAACACCCGUGGCGAAGGCGGCUCUCUGGACCAAUACUGGCGCUGAGACGCGAAAGCGUGGGGAGCAAACAGGAUUAGGUACCCUGGUAGUCCACGCUGUAAACGAUGAGAACUAGGUGUAGCGGGUAUUGACCCCUGCUGUGCCGAAGUUAACGCAUUAAGUUCUCCGCCUGGGGAGUACGGCCGCAAGGCUAAAACUCAAAGGAAUUGACGGGGGCCCGCACAAGCGGUGGAGCAUGUGGUUUAAUUCGACGCAACGCGAAGAACCUUACCUGGGUUUGACAUCCUUUGACCGCCCUGGAAACAGGGUUUUCUCGACUCUGUCGGGACAGAGUGACAGGUGCUGCAUGGCUGUCGUCAGCUCGUGUCGUGAGAUGUUGGGUUAAGUCCCGCAACGAGCGCAACCCUUGUCUUAGUUGCCAGUAUUCAGUUAGGAACUCUAAAGAGACUGCCUCGGUUAACGGGGAGGAAGGUGGGGAUGACGUCAAGUCCUCAUGGCCUUUAUACCCAGGGCCACACACGUGCUACAAUGGGCUGUACAACGGGUUGCUAUCCCGCGAGGAGGCGCUAAUCCCAAAAAGCAGCUCUCAGUUCGGAUUGAAGUCUGCAACUCGACUUCAUGAAGGUGGAAUCGCUAGUAAUCGUGGAUCAGCAUGCCACGGUGAAUACGUUCCCGGGCCUUGUACACACCGCCCGUCACACCACGAAAGUCGACUGUACCAGAAGUUACUGGGCUAACCCUUCGGGGGAGCAGGUACCUAAGGUACGGCCGGUAAUUGGGGUGAAGUCGUAACAAGGUAA